GAUGAACGCUGGCGAGAUGCUUUACACAUGCAAGUCAUACGAGAGUUUUUAACUCAAGUGGCGGACGGGUGAGUAACACGUAAGAAUUUGCCUUUAGGAGGGGGAUAACAACUGGAAACGGUUGCUAAUACCCCAUAUGCUUUCGAGUGAAAUGGAUUUAUCCGCCUAGAGAGAAGCUUGCGGCUGAUUAGCUUGUUGGUAAGGUAAUGGCUUACCAAGGCGACGAUCAGUAUCUGGUUUGAGAGGACGAUCAGACACACUGGAACUGAGACACGGUCCAGACUCCUACGGGAGGCAGCAGUGGGGAAUUUUCCGCAAUGGGCGAAAGCCUGACGGAGCAAUCUCGCGUGAGGGAUGACCGCCUAUGGGUUGUAAACCUCUUUUUUCAGGGA
rnacentral:rRNA from 1 species